rnacentral:tRNA from 6 species
GGGCUCGUGAUGUAGCUUGGAAACAUGCUGGGCUUCGAACCCAGAUCCGGGGGUUCAAAUCCCCCCGAGCCCGCCA